UUUGGGCUACAGCCGUCAAUUCUGGGCCUUAUAUUUAUAAUUUGUGGUGGAGUUUAUGCAGGAGCAUCUCCUAUGUGGGGUUAUAUCUCUGACAAAUUUCCAACAUCUCUUCUUCCAUUGUUGAUAUCGAGCGCCCUCUGUGCGUCAAGUUUCAUAUUUGUUGGACCCGCUCCUUUCAUUCCACUAGAUACGAACCUUGGGUUCGUGAUUCUUUCCCAAAUAAUCCUAGGAUUAGGAGUUGGCGGAAAAAGCAUCGUCGGGUUGAAUCACUCAUUGAGAUAUACAAU